UACGGGGGGGGCAAGCGUUGUUCGGAAUUACUGGGCGUAAAGGGCGCGUAGGCGGCCUUUUAAGUCGGACGUGAAAUCCCUCGGCUUAACCGAGGAACUGCGUCCGAUACUGAAAGGCUUGAAUCCGGGAGAGGGAUGUGGAAUUCCAGGUGUAGCGGUGAAAUGCGUAGAUAUCUGGAGGAACACCGGUGGCGAAGGCGGCAUCCUGGACCGGUAUUGACGCUGAGGCGCGAAAGCUAGGGGAGCAAACGGG
rnacentral:rRNA from 1 species